rnacentral:rRNA from 1 species
CCUACGGGGGGCAGCAGUGGGGAAUAUUGGACAAUGGGGGCAACCCUGAUCCAGCCAUGCCGCGUGUGUGAAGAAGGCCCUCGGGUUGUAAAGCACUUUCAGUGAGGAAGAACGCCUGGUGGUUAAUACCCAUCAGGAAAGACAUCACUCACAGAAGAAGCACCGGCUAACCCCGUGCCAGCAGCCGCGGUAAUACGGAGGGUGCGAGCGUUAAUCGGAAUUACUGGGCGUAAAGCGCGCGUAGGUGGCUUGAUAAGCCGGUUGUGAAAGCCCCGGGCUCAACCUGGGAACGGCAUCCGGAACUGUCAAGCUAGAGUGCAGGAGAGGAAGGUAGAAUUCCCGGUGUAGCGGUGAAAUGCGUAGAGAUCGGGAGGAAUACCAGUGGCGAAGGCGGCCUUCUGGACUGACACUGACACUGAGGUGCGAAAGCGUGGGUAGCAAACAGGAUUAGAUACCCCAGUAGUC